rnacentral:rRNA from 1 species
AUUGAACGCUGGCGGCAGGCCCAACACAUGCCAGUCGAACGGUAACAGGAAGAAGCUUGCUUCUUUGCUGACGAGUGGCGGACGGGUGAGUAAUGUCUGGGAAACUGCCUGAUGGAGGGGGAUAACUACUGGAAACGGUAGCUAAUACCGCAUAACGUCGCAAGACCAAAGAGGGGAACCUUCGGGCCUCUUGCCAUCGGAUGUGCCCAGAUGGGAUUAGCUAGUAGGUGGGGUAACGGCUCACCUAGGCGACGAUCCCUAGCUGGUCUGAGAGGAUGACCAGCCACACUGGAACUGAGACACGGUCCAGACUCCUACGGGAGGCAGCAGUGGGGAAUAUUGCACAAUGGGCGCAAGCCUGAUGCAGCCAUGCCGCGUGUAUGAAGAAGGCCUUCGGGUUGUAAAGUACUUUCAGCGGGGAGGAAGGGAGUAAAGUUAAUACCUUUGCUCAUUGACGUUACCCGCAGAAGAAGCACCGGCUAACUCCGUG